GAUGAACGCUGGCGGCGUGCCUAAUACAUGCAAGUCGAGCGAACAGACGAGGAGCUUGCUCCUCUGACGUUAGCGGCGGACGGGUGAGUAACACGUGGAUAACCUACCUAUAAGACUGGGAUAACUUCGGGAAACCGGAGCUAAUACCGGAUAAUAUAUUUAGCCGCAUGGUUCAAUAGUGAAAGACGGUUUUGCUGUCACUUAUAGCUGGCUCCGCGCCGCAUUAGCUAGUUGGUAAGGUAACGGCUUACCAAGGCAACGAUGCGUAGCCGACCUGAGAGGGUGAUAGGCGACACUGGAACUGAGACACGGUCCAGACUCCUACGGGAGGCAGCAGUAGGGAAUCUGCGGCAAUGGGCGAAAGCCUGACGGAGCAAGGCAGCGUGAGUGAUGAAGGUCUUCGGAGAGUAAAACUCUGUUAUGAGGGAAGAACAAAUGUGUAAGUAGCUAUGCACGUCGUGACGGUACCUAAACAGAAAGCCACGGCUAACUACGUG
rnacentral:rRNA from 1 species